UCAGGACGAACGCUGGCGGCGUGCUUAACACAUGCAAGUCGAGCGAUGAAGUUCCUUCGGGAAAUGGAUUAGCGGCGGACGGGUGAGUAACACGUGGGUAACCUGCCUCAUAGAGGGGAAUAGCCUUUCGAAAGGAAGAUUAAUACCGCAUAAGAUUGUAAUGUCGCAUGACAUAGCAAUUAAAGGAGUAAUCCGCUAUGAGAUGGACCCGCGUCGCAUUAGCUAGUUGGUGAGGUAACGGCUCACCAAGGCGACGAUGCGUAGCCGACCUGAGAGGGUGAUCGGCCACAUUGGGACUGAGACACGGCCCAGACUCCUACGGGAGGCAGCAGUGGGGAAUAUUGCACAAUGGGGGAAACCCUGAUGCCAGCAACGCCGCGUGAGUGAUGAAGGUCUUCGGAUUGUAAAGCUCUGUCUUUAGGGACGAUAAUGACGGUACCUAAGGAGGAAGCCACGGCUAACUACGUGCCAGCAGCAGC
rnacentral:rRNA from 1 species